AAUAGAUACCCGGGUAGUCCACGCCGUAAACGAUGAAUGCUAAGUGUUAGAGGGGUUUCCGCCCUUUACGUGCUGCAGCUAACGCAUUAAGCACUCCGCCUGGGGAGUACGGCCGCAAGGCUGAAACUCAAAGGAAUUGACGGGGGCCCGCACAAGCGGUGGAGCAUGUGGUUUAAUUCGAAGCAACGCGAAGAACCUUACCAGGUCUUGACAUCCUCUGCCAACCCUAGAGAUAGGGCGUUCCCCUUCGGGGGACAGAGUGACAGGUGGUGCAUGGUUGUCGUCAGCUCGUGUCGUGAGAUGUUGGGUUAAGUCCCGCAACGAGCGCAACCCUUGAUCUUAGUUGCCAGCAUUCAGUUGGGCACUCUAAGGUGACUGCCGGUGACAAACCGGAGGAAGGUGGGGAUGACGUCAAAUCAUCAUGCCCCUUAUGACCUGGGCUACACACGUGCUACAAUGGAUGGUACAAAGAGCAGCGAACCCGCGAGGGUAAGCCAAUCUCAUAAAGCCAUUCUCAGUUCGGA
rnacentral:rRNA from 1 species